rnacentral:rRNA from 1 species
UACGUAGGGACCAAGUGUUGUCCGGAAUCAUUGGGCGUAAAGAGCGUGUAGGCGGCUUGUUAAGUCUUGCGUGAAAUCUCGGGGCUCAACCCCGAGCGGUCGUGAGAAACUGGCAGGCUAGAGUGCGGGAGAGGAGAGUGGAAUUCCUGGUGUAGCGGUGAAAUGCGCAGAUAUCAGGAAGAACACCCGUGGCGAAGGCGGCUCUCUGGAACGCAACAGACGCUGAGACGCGAAAGCGUGGGGAGCAAACAGG